AAAGAAAUUUUAAUAUCUCAGUUUCGACCCCCUUUGGUCACCGAAAACUGUACCGAACUGUAAUCUUUAUCAGAUAGCUGUCGGAUUUUAUUUUCCACCUUUCGGGUGUCAGAAUGAUAUGAAACCUUAAAUCAAGUCUCAUAAAAAUAAUUCUGACUUAUCCUCCAGUUUUCAUAAUUUUCUGACACUGUGCAUUUUUUGCUAAUUUAUCUAUCCCGUUUUCAAAAGAAAAUUCUAAGUAUUCUGUUUUCAUUCUGAUUUCAGCACAAGUCAUUUUUGACUUAUGUUUUACUUCUCUAAAUUCAAUAAAAAUAGUUUCUCACACUAUUUUUAUUUAUUUUUAUUUUUAUACCAAAAUCUGGUAUGUUACAUUCUCCACUCCUUAAAAAAAAUUCCGUCCGCGAAAUUCAAACCACGCCUCAAUUCAGCUCCGCGAACAAUUAAGGGUACCAACUAAUUCUCCCACUCCAGA
rnacentral:lncRNA from 1 species